AUACUCUGUUUUCUCUUCAGGCUGUAUAACUCUUUUUCCUGUUACUAAAGAUUUCUGUGGAGAAAAACAACUCUGAGUCUUAACCCAAUUA
rnacentral:snRNA from 1 species